CUACCUUUAGCAGCACAUACACUAAAACUGGAAUGAUACAGAGAAGAUUAGCAGGCCCUUAUACAAACAUGAUCCGCAAAUUCAUGAGGUAUUCCAUAUUUUA